rnacentral:tRNA from 1 species
UGGCUGAGAGGUUAAAGCGUCUGCCUGAAAUGCGGGAGACCCGGGUUCGAUCCCUGG